UUAUUCUUUAUAGCUUGCUAUGAUAGAAAUUAGUGGCAGACGGGUGAGUAAUGCAUAGGAAUCUACCUAGUAGUAUGGGAUAGCCACUAGAAAUGGUGGGUAAUACUGUAUAAUCCCUGCGGGGGAAAGAUUUAUCGCUAUUAGAUGAGCCUAUGUUAGAUUAGCUAGUUGGUGGGGUAAAGGCCUACCAAGGCAGUGAUCUAUAGCUGGUCUGAGAGGAUGAUCAGCCACACUGGAACUGAGAUACGGUCCAGACUCCUACGGGAGGCAGCAGUGGGGAAUAUUGGACAAUGGGCGCAAGCCUGAUCCAGCUAUGCCGCGUGAGUGAGGAAGGCCUUAGGG
rnacentral:rRNA from 1 species